GACGAACGCUGGCGGCGUGCCUAAUACAUGCAAGUCGAACGCUGAAGAGGGGAGCUUGCUCUUCUUGGAUGAGUUGCGAACGGGUGAGUAACGCGUAGGUAACCUGCCUUGUAGCGGGGGAUAACUAUUGGAAACGAUAGCUAAUACCGCAUAACAAUGGAUGACACAUGUCAUUUAUUUGAAAGGGGCAAUUGCUCCACUACAAGAUGGACCUGCGUUGUAUUAGCUAGUAGGUGAGGUAAUGGCUCACCUAGGCGACGAUACAUAGCCGACCUGAGAGGGUGAUCGGCCACACUGGGACUGAGACACGGCCCAGACUCCUACGGGAGGCAGCAGUAGGGAAUCUUCGGCAAUGGGGGCAACCCUGACCGAGCAACGCCGCGUGAGUGAAGAAGGGUUUCGGAUCGUAAAGCUCGGUUGUAAGUCAAGAACGGGUGUGAGAGUGGAAAGUUCACACUGUGACGGUAGCUUACCAGAAAGGGACGGCUAACUACGUG
rnacentral:rRNA from 1 species